GAAUGGGGUGAGCUUCUAACCCAUGCCAGAGCAAACUGUGUCCCCAAACCAUUGCCUGGCCUCUGUGCCUGUAGGCUGCUGGCACUGAAGUGGCUUGCACAAUG
rnacentral:snoRNA from 1 species